CGCUGCAAGAUGGCGGCUCGGCGCCUCAGCGCCCCCUUCAGCGCCGCCAGGCCUCGCCCGCUGCCGGCCCGUCACCUCCGCUGGAGGAUAAGAGAAAAAAUAAAAGCGGAAAGAUGGCCAGUUUGGGAGAAUAAGCGGUCCAUAUUGUCUUAUCCCCUUCAUGAGUAAAAAGUGGAAUAUUUGGCCAAGAUCAUCUCAUUCCUGUGCUGUUAGGGACCUGACUUUCCUUUCUAGGCCUUCUACCAGCAUGUGUGAGUUCCAUCCUUUUCUUACCGUGGCAGGGUAACACGACGAGGACAGUAAAGGCUUUCUGAAAAUUCUAUUGCUGCUGCUAGUGGAACCUUUUCCCAGAAGGGAACUACGAAAAGUAGGUGGAGCCUGCUUUGUUCUUAUGCUUCAGACAGCUGGGAAGAACUGGAUUCCCACCAAAAAGCAAAUACGGCAGCAUGUAACAUUUUUGCCACAAAUUGGCAAAUAAUCUAUAAUGGAAAUAAUCUAGAAAACAGCAGAAUAAAGUCUAAAUUCUCACAGGGAAAAUGCAGUAGUGAAAGAGCAUUUAUGAUUCAUACUGUCCUCCACUCUAAAGCCUAGUGACAUAGGGAUAUAAAAUCUGGUAUGCAGCCAGGAACUUAAAAGGCAGUGAUGGCAGAGGAUCACCUUGGCAAUGUUCUAAGUUCCCCUGUCCUUGCUUGUAAUGAUAGCCUUAUGGUGCAAGAAUAAAAUGUUCCAUCAGACGCUCAGGCAUGUCCUCCACUUAACUAGGCAGAAUUUUUUCUUCCAUCCACAUAUUUCUUAUUCCUAUGAAAUGUCUCAAGAAAAUGUGGUAUUGUUUUUAAACAGAUUAAAGCAGCUCCUCAUAAACAAGGACUGUAAACCUCCCAAUGCUGCUUGCUGUGAGUGGGAAUCUGACAUAAAGUGUCUUUAAAAGACAGCAUUUAAAUUAAGCUGAAGCGUUAGGCUUAAACUUUUGCCUGUUGGAUGUUCCUUCCUAGUGCAUCAUUUUCUCAUCAAGAUGUUACCUGGUUUCCAUAAGCUAAGCUGUAAACAUAUUACGCACCUUCCCCACCUCGCUGUGCCUACAGCAGAACACCUACCUUAUCAGGGAAGAUAAACGCAUGCUUGCUGUAGUGGAAGAUAAUUCUUUUCAAUGAGUUUGUUUCAUUAUGCAAUGAAUUGUCUGUUAACAGAGGGGAACAAGACAACAGCCCAGAGCAUCAAACUUAGCUCCAUGCUGGGUGGUAACUGGCAUCUACAGGAGCAACAAAUCAGCUCUAUGAAGUUUAUCUGGGGAAGAAAGAAGGGAGCCUUAACUGCCCCAGCAGAAAAUUAUUGCUUUAGAAUACAUCAAAAUCAAGUCAUUGUCCCCCUGCAACCAGCUGCAGUUCUGAGAAGUAUUUUUUAUUUCAGGCAUUUCUGGUUAUCUCCAGAAGAAAACAAAGCAGCUCACAGUUUAUCUAGCAACGUUGAUUUCAUAAUGGCUUGAAUUUAAUGUGAAAGAAUUGACUUAACUAUUAUUAGUUUCAGUAGCUGAAGGUCCUAUAGGGAUUUAUUUCACGUAAGAUUACACAAAAGCCUUUUAGGACGGCACAUGUUCUCAAAUGGUGCUAGAUCAACAUAGACUGACUCUGAAGGCAUUGUUAGGAGCAGUAUAAAGUUCAGAUCUGUUCAGUCACGUGCAAAUAAUCCUUUCCCAAGGCAAAACAGGGUGGUUAAAAGUAUGUAAAUGUGAUUGCUUCAGCAUUACUUGAGUAAAUACCUUACUCUUUAAGAAGGCUGCACUAAGGAUAAAUGAAGUGUAACUUGGCAAAUACACUGUCAGCGCUCUGUAAGUUGUGGGACAGGUGGAAAGAUCUGGUUUGAGAUAAAGCAAAUUGCUUCACGAAUUGCUACAUUAAGAUCAGCACCAGCUCCAAUUCCAUCAAUUAACUUAUAUAGGAAAGUUACUCUCUUUCUACCUGUAAAGUGUUAGAAUUCCUACUACAGGCAUCACCUGUAACAAGCUCUGUGCACAGUGUUUUGCAGCAAGCUGUUUGUGGCAGGGUUGUUUGCUUUAUCUUGCUAUGUACCAAACACCUGUCAUCUACUGCUAGACGAUGAUGGAAGUGAAGUUAAAAACCGUCUGUUACUUAAGAUAAAGCUCAAUGUGUCCCAAAGCUAGCUGAAACAGUUUCCAUCACUUUAUCUGCAAUAACACUUCUAAAGUAGUCCCACAACUUUAGGCAAGCUUAUUGAAAGUAAUGUAUUACAACAACUGAAAUCUUUCAGAAAGUAGCUCAAGACAUUACACAGCUGAGGCUCAGUUUCACAGAGCAGUAGCAGAAACUGAGACAGAAGCAGAACAGUUUCAAGAAAUUUAUUGUAAAGGCCUUUACAGUCUCAGUACACAGAUAAGGAUAUAAAAAUGUUGUCGUUUGGAAUAAUUAAGGCUGGUUGGUGGUCACCUGCAUUUCACUGUUCAAUGGAACUCAAGAAAGAGCAACCGACUUCUGACUGCACACACUUUUAUUUGUGUUCCAUCAUUACAGUGAGAUCACAAGUUAUUUCAGAGA